rnacentral:miRNA from 1 species
UGUCCUACCCAAUUUCUAGUC